rnacentral:lncRNA from 1 species
UGUCUGGGCUGCCUCUUUCUCUGCCUUUUUAGUAAGUAUUUCCACGACUUAUGGAGCUCUUCUGCGUCACGAUCAUUAAUGACUUUGUUUUUUCUCUGACUUUUGCGAUUUGUGAAUUUUCUGCCGUGGCUGGCUCUAUCCUGUUUUCGACUUGCUUUGCUCCUUUUGCGUCCUUCCAAUUUACUAUGAUGUUGUUCUCGUGAGCUCUCGUGGCGAGGGCUGUUGUCAUGUUGGCUGUCUUGGUGCUCCUUUUGUGUUCUUCGAUCCUGCCUUGGAGAUUUCUGCGCGUUGCCUCCACGUGUAUCUCACACUUGCCUGUGUCUGGGUUUGUCAUGGGUAUCUGGUGGGCCCCGCUUUUCUCACCUGUUCUCCUUGGGUCCUUCGGGUUUCUUAAUAAUUCUCCCACUUUUCUCACCUGUUCUCCUUGGAUCCUUCAGGUUUCUUAAUAAUUCUCCCACUUUUCUCACCUGUUCUCCUUGGAUCCUUCAGGUUUCUUAAUAAUUCUCCCACU